rnacentral:rRNA from 1 species
AUACGUAGGUGGCAAGCGUUACUCGGAAUCACUAGGCGUAAAGCGCGGGUAGGCGGUUUGGUAAGUCCGUUGUGAAAGCUCCCGGCUCAACCGGGAGAGGCCAACGGAAACUGCCAGGCUAGAGUGUGGUAGAGGAAGCUAGAAUUCCCGGUGUAGCGGUGAAAUGCGUAGAUAUCGGGAGGAAUACCUAUGGCGAAAGCAGGCUUCUGGGCCAUCACUGACGCUGAUCCGCGAAAGCUAGGGGAGCAAACAGGAUUAGAUACCCCAGUAGUCC